rnacentral:rRNA from 1 species
UAACGCGUAGGUAACCUACCUCAUAGCGGGGGAUAACUAUUGGAAACGAUAGCUAAUACCGCAUAAGAGAGACUAACGCAUGUUAGUAAUUUAAAAGGGGCAAUUGCUCCACUAUGAGAUGGACCUGCGUUGUAUUAGCUAGUUGGUGAUGUAAAGGCUCACCAAGGCGACGAUACAUAGCCUACCUGAGAGGGUGAUCGGCCACACUGGGACUGAGACACGGCCCAG